AGCUCAGUGGCAGAGCAGGGGACUCAUAAGCCCUUGGUCGCUGGUUCAAAUCCAGCC
rnacentral:tRNA from 1 species